rnacentral:rRNA from 1 species
AGAGUUUGAUCCUGGCUCAGAACGAACGCUGGCGGCAGGCUUAACACAUGCAAGUCGAACGCCCUCUUUUGAGGGAGUGGCAGACGGGUGAGUAACGCGUGGGAAUCUACCUAGUGGUAAGGAACAACACAGAGAAAUUUGUGCUAAUACCUUAUACGCCCUCCGGGGGAAAGAUUUAUCGCCAUUAGAUGGGCCCGCGUUUGAUUAGCUAGUUGGUGAGGUAAUGGCUCACCAAGGCGACGAUCAAUAGCUGGUCUGAGAGGAUGAUCAGCCACACUGGGACUGAGACACGGCCCAGACUCCUACGGGAGGCAGCAGUGGGGAAUAUUGGACAAUGGGCGCAAGCCUGAUCCAGCCCUGCCGCGUGUGUGAUGAAGGCCUUAGGGUUGUAAAGCACUUUCAACGGUGAAGAUAAUGACGGUAACCGUAGAAGAAGCUCCGGCUAACUUCGUGCCAGCAGCCGCGGUAAUACGAAGGGAGCUAGCGUUGUUCGGAAUUACUGGGCGUAA